rnacentral:lncRNA from 1 species
AAAGCCCCGCCUCCUGCGCUUCCCCACAAGCCCCCGCGGCCUCGCCCCGCCCCCUUUAGCCUGGGCUUGAGCGCGCGCAGAAGUCAGCUUCGUGACUUCCUUCUCAGGAUGGAACCAGCUUGGUGGCUUGAGGCUUAGCUAAGGGAGCAGAAGACUAACCGUGGUCACUACACAGGCUCUCAAAAUCCUUGCAGCAGUUCCCAAACUCUUGGCAGCGGGCAUUGCAGUGACAUUGGUGGUGCUUGUCAAAGGCUUCGUAGCAGCGGCCCUGGCAGGAGGAAAGGGGUUCUGAGUUGCAAAUCAGAAACUUGAAGAUGAAAUGGCUACUACGCUGGGUAUUGCCUUUAUCUUGAAUGCCAGCCUGAUGGUCCAAGGUGAACAAGCCUUCCUGUGUUUUCUGAAUGGUAAGAAAAAGUGGGGACACAAGGACAGCAGAAAAGGCAUAGGCUCUGAUUCCGGCUGAUCUCGGCCUGGGUCUCCCUGCCUGGGGAAGGAGGUGUAUGUGUGUGUGCUAAUAUAUAUGUGGUGCUAAUGUAUAAUACAUAUGCUUAUAUGGUGAUAUGGUUUGGCUGUGUCCCCCCUCAAAUCUCAUCUUGAAUGGUAGCUCACAUAAUUCCCAUGUGUCACGGGAGGGACCUGGUGAGAGGUAACUGAAUCAUGGGGACGGGUUUUUCCUGUGCUGGUUCUCGUGAUAGUGAAUAAGUCUCACGAUAUCUUAUGGUUUUAUAAAGUGCAGUUCCCCCGCACUUUGCCUGCCACCAUGUAAGAUGUGUCUUUGCGCCUCCUUUGCCUUCCACCAUGAUUGUGCGGCCUCCCCAGCCAUGUGGAACGGUGUCUGGGGUCUGUCAGGAUCAACAGGCCUUGAGAGAGACUGACCCAGAGGACUACUAAAAGGGACACCUGCCCAGGCCAGCCUAUUCUACCAUCCUCGUUCUCCUGCAAAACCAAGGCCACGUCAUUUCAGCAGAGGACCUGCGUGUGGAAGGACCCUGCAGCUGGCCCAUCACAGGAGAGGCCCAGACUCACCUCCCAAGGGGACCCUGGCACAUGAAGAUGCUGGUUCUCCUGGGAGUGCUGCCCUGGCCCACAGGAUAGAAGCGCAGGAUGGUCACCCAUGUCUGCUCUUAUUGAAUGUGUCUUAGAAGCGG